AAUCCAUGGUGUGGGCAUUUUUGAAUUACUGUCUUAAAACGCUGCCAUGCCUCGUGAAAGCUUUUCCCUUCUAACUGCUUGAACAUCGAAAUUUACCUUCUUAGCU
rfam:Gossypium raimondii chromosome 9, whole genome shotgun sequence.